UACGUAGGGGGCGAGCGUUGUCCGGAUUUAUUGGGCGUAAAGAGCGUGUAGGCGGUUCGGUAAGUCGGCUGUGAAAGUCCAGGGCUCAACCCUGGGAUGCCGGUCGAUACUGCCGGACUAGAGUUCGGAAGAGGCGAGUGGAAUUCCCGGUGUAGCGGUGAAAUGCGCAGAUAUCGGGAGGAACACCUAUGGCGAAGGCAGCUCGCUGGGACGUUACUGACGCUGAGACGCGAAAGCGUGGGGAGCGAACAGG
rnacentral:rRNA from 1 species